UACGAAGGGGGCUAGCGUUGCUCGGAAUCACUGGGCGUAAAGCGCACGUAGGCGGAUUCUUAAGUCAGGGGUGAAAUCCUGGAGCUCAACUCCAGAACUGCCUUUGAUACUGAGGGUCUUGAGUUCGGGAGAGGUGAGUGGAACUGCGAGUGUAGAGGUGAAAUUCGUAGAUAUUCGCAAGAACACCAGUGGCGAAGGCGGCUCACUGGCC
rnacentral:rRNA from 1 species